AGUUGAGAACUGAAUUCAGAGGUAAUCUGGAAACAGAGAGCAGAAUGAAGAAAGUUUAGACCAACCACAAAUUCCGUCACCAAAUCUGGUCUUCUCCAUGAAGUAAGGCAUAAAAUAUCCAGACUGUUUCAAAAGCCAAAUCUGGAAAUGAGAGCUCAAAAGAUUGAAAUCAAAGAAUGCAUGCAGGGUGUCAUUGCUAACCAAAAAAAGAUGAGGCUCAGAAAGUAUGAAAUUAUUCAGGACUGGAAAAUAAUAAGGGACAAGCAAAGUGUAGUUUUGCAACCACUAUAAUGAUUCUUUACCAUCUAAGCCACUAAGAGUUAUUGGUUUACACCAGGAUUUCUCAAUAUUGACAAUUUUAAGAAGUAUGGACCAGCUUUCCACCAAUCCUAGAAUUACCUGGCCAACCAUGUAGAAGUUGAGUCUAUGUGUUUGGAGAACAUGUUUUAACCUAUAUAACUAUAUGGGUGGAAGAUGCCUAUAUGCACUGUCCUAAACCCUCUGAAGAGCAGAUUAAAAUCCAAAUGGCUAUCAUUUAAAUGGCAAUGAUGAAACAACGAACUACCAGUAAAUACCUUUCCUUUUAAAAUGAUGCUCCAUAAAAAUUUCAUACCACCCAUGGUACGCCUUUGAACCAGAGUUCAACAUACCACCAUGAUAUGCUUCUGCAAGAGUGCAGCCACCCUUUUUUAAUGGUGGUUCUUAUUCCUGAACGGCCAGUAUCUUGAUGGAGAGAAUGAAAUAGAGCCCAUUAUGGAAUGCCACAGGCCCUUUUGCUCCUCUUUUUUUUUUUUUUUAAUUUGAUUUAUAUGCCGCCCUUCUCCGGAGACUCAGGGCGGCUUACAAUGUGCUCAGCAAUAGCCUUCAUCCUUUUGUAUAUUUAUACAAAGUCAGCUUAUUGCCCCCACAAACUGGGUCCUCAUUUCACCUACCUUAGAAAGGAUGGAAGGCUGAGUCAACCUUGAGCCUUGGCGAGAUUCGAACCCUGCAGUAAUUGCAGGCAGCUGGUCUUAAUAACUAGCUUAAUAACAGGGUGCCUUAGACCCCUGUACUACCAAGGCUCUUUUUUAACUCUUAUUUAACAGCUACAUGAAGCCAUUGGGUAAUGUCACUCAGCAGCAAAGGGUGAGUAUCAUCAACAUGUUGAUGAUAUUACUCUUUAAAUGUCUGCACUGGGUUAGAAAAAUGAUGCAAUGAAGAGUCUUGACUGGGUUAUUUGGGGAGGAACAGACUUAAGUUGAACCUUAGCAAGGUCGAAUGGCAAGUUCAUAAUCUGGAGUCUCAAUCUAAGGAUGAGUCAAGACUUCCUAUAUGAUAUGAGUAAGCUUGAACAUGGGAGAACAUAACGUAACACUGACUGUUACUGCCACAUUUAAAAUCUGGCUGUCACCAAGUCUCUGCAUAGGAGAUCAUGGAAAAAUCUAGUCAUAAUUAUCUCUUCUCCAAAGUAUUGAGAUGACAGUUCCCAGAAUCCCAAUCAAAUGUAGCCUAAUAAACUAUGCAGUUUGGUAGUCUGAGAAUUGUGAUCCCAGCAUAUCUGGAGGGCAACAGAUUACAGAAGCCUGCCUUCCAGGUUUCUUAAACUGGCUGAACAAUAAAGCUUAUAGUUAUUUCAGCAAUUGUCUGCAAAGUUGAACAGACACUUUCACUUUUCAUAAAAUUAACAACCGUUUAUCUUUUCAGCAGUUAGGUCCAUUGCUAUCUCAAAAUUUAUCUAAAGGAUCACCUGAAAGACCACCUGAAUUCAUCAAUGAUCCCAAAACUGUUUAAAAAUUAUCUUUCUAGCUCCUUAGCUUUAUCCGCUUUCCCCCAAAAGAAAUAUUCCAUAUAGCACAAAUAUUCUUUUAAUGAGAAAAUGCAUUUCACCCUUCUACCACAGUUGUUUUUACUUAAAGCAAUUCUAGGAGGAAACUUUAGCUAAAAUGCAAUUAUUUGCCCAAGAGGAUUUAGGAGUUUGUUAGAAUCAGUUCCAUUUCAAUAUCCUUGCCUGAAUAUGACUCAGUUCAAAACCACAAAACCUCCUUCAUUUUUAUCUUCACAUUCAUCACUAUCUUGCAAACCUUUCUCCGUAGCCUAAUAAUUUCCUAGCAUCUGAAACCUGAGUGAAAUCAGCACUCCCUCCCCAACAAAAAAUAAUAAAAGUACCUUGUUCUCUAAAAAACCCUUAUGACAAAUAUACAAUUAAUAUUUAGGCAUUCAGUAUUUUGGUAUGCUCUGAUACAGUCUUCUGAUCUCUCCAGCCAACAUCACCCGUUGCUUUUGUUCACUCAGUUGUUAGCAACCAUCUCCAAGAAAUGCAUCAGCUUUCCACCAAUCCUGAUGAAAGAUGGGAGGGGAAGGAGAAGAAAAAGUGUUGAGUUAUACCCAACUAACCGAAGUGUUUCCUUGAUUCAUUUAGAGGUGCUGGAUUCUUCUUAAAUGAUUUCCUAUGUUUAAGAAAUGACUGCAAAUGAAAAAAACAAAAAGAAAAUAGACUCAGCUAUAACUUUUCUCCCUGAUGAGUUAGUCCUUUAUUUGAAAAAAGGGGACUAGUAGUUAUGAAAGAGGUCUUAAAAUGGAAAGAAGGAAAGGAAGAAAGAAAGAGAAAGAAAAAAAGAAGGAAGGAAGAAAGGAAGGAAAGAAGGAAGGAAAGAAAGAAAGAAGGAAAGAAAGAGAAAGAAGUCUACUCUCUAAUCAUCUUUUCUGCAACAUGCAUCAAAUGGGAAUAAUACUUGCCUCUUGUGAUUGGUGCUUACCAACUAAUUCCCAGAAUUCUCAUCUAUACUGGCUGUGGAAUGCUGGGAAUUGAAAUUCCAACUCCUGGAAAUUGCCUAUUUGGGAAACUGUGUCUUUUAUCUUUAUCUUUAUGACUACUACUGCACCUGUUACUUAUUUCUAAAUAAAUGAGUACUUUGC